rnacentral:rRNA from 1 species
AACGAACGCUGGCGGCAUGCCUAACACAUGCAAGUCGAACGAGACCUUCGGGUCUAGUGGCGCACGGGUGCGUAACGCGUGGGAACCUGCCCUUAGGGUCGGAAUAACUCCCCGAAAGGGGUGCUAAUACCGGAUAAUGUCUUCGAACCAAAGAUUUAUCGCCUUUGGAUGGGCCCGCGUUGGAUUCGCUAGUUGGUACGGUAAAAGCCUACCAAGGCGACGAUCCAUAGCUGGUCUGAGAGGAUGAUCAGCCACACUGGGACUGAGACACGGCCCAGACUCCUACGGGAGGCAGCAGUGGGGAAUAUUGGACAACGGGCGAAAGCCUGAUCCAGCAAUGCCGGGUGAGUGAUGAAGGCCUUAGGGUUGUAAAGCUCUUUUACCCGGGAUGAUAAUGACAGUACCGGGAGAAUAAGCGCCGGCUAACUACGUG